ACUCAACCAUGUGACCAUACCAAACUGUUGCCUCGGCGGGGUCACGCCCCGGGNGNGUCGCAGCCCCGGAACCAGGCGCCCGCCGGAGGGACCAACCAAACUCUUUCUGUAGUCCCCUCGNGGACGUUAUUUCUUACAGCUCUGAGCAAAAAUUCAAAAUGAAUCAAAACUUUCAACAACGGAUCUCUUGGUUCUGGCAUCGAUGAAGAACGCAGCGAAAUGCGAUAAGUAAUGUGAAUUGCAGAAUUCAGUGAAUCAUCGAAUCUUUGAACGCACAUUGCGCCCGCCAGUAUUCUGGCGGGCAUGCCUGUCCGAGCGUCAUUUCAACCCUCGAACCCCUCCGGGGGUCCGGCGUUGGGGAUCGGGAACCCCUAAGACGGGAUCCCGGCCCCGAAAUACAGUGGCGGUCUCGCCGCAGCCUCUCAUGCGCAGUAGUUUGCACAACUCGCACCGGGAGCGCGGCGCGUCCACGUCCGUAAAA
rnacentral:rRNA from 1 species